rnacentral:rRNA from 1 species
AUGAAUAGUAAUAGGGCUCCUGGUUCGGAUAGCAUUCCGGCCAAGUUUUACCAACAUUGCUGGGAGAUAGUAAAGAAUGACAUCAUGAAUUUGUUUCAUGCUUUUCAUAGGGGGCUGGAUGUUUACAGGUUGAACUAUGGCAUCAUUACCCUUCUUCCUAAGAUUUCUGGAGCAGAUAAGAUUCAACAAUUCAGGCCAAUAUGUCUGUUGAGAUGCCCUUAUAAACUGAUUACAAAAGUUCUAUACAAUAGAGUGGCCCUUUUCGCUGAUGUUUUGUUUAGCAAACAUCAAAAUGCCUUUAUCAAAGGCAGGAACAUUAUGGAUGGGGUUCUAUCUUUGCACGAGGUUCUUCACCAUACCUAUGUGAAGAAAAAAUGUGGUGUUGUCAUUAAGCUCGAUUUUGAGAAAGCAUAUGACAAGGUUAACUGGGACUUCCUUUUGAAGUGUCUCGAGGACAGAGGCUUUGGGAAGACUUGGUGUGAGUGGAUGAGAAACAUACUGCAUAAUGGCACAGUUUGUGUCAAGCUAAACAAUACAAUGGGUCCAUACUUCCAAAGCUAUAAAGGGGUCAGACAGGGAGAUCCUGUUUCCCCGUUCCUGUUUAAUAUUGCUGCUGAAUGCUUAUGUAAAAUGGUGCUGCAAGCAAAAAAAAGAAUCUCUUUGUUGGGUUGGCCGCGGACCUGGUCGAGAAUGGGGUAG